rnacentral:rRNA from 1 species
UACGUAGGGGGCUAGCGUUGUCCGGAUUUAUUGGGCGUAAAGAGCGUGUAGGCGGCCAUGUAGGUCCGGUGUGAAAACUCGAGGCUUAACCUCGAGAUGUCAUCGGAAACCAUUUGGCUAGAGUCCGGAGGAGGAGAGUGGAAUUCCUGGUGUAGCGGUGAAAUGCGUAGAUAUCGGGAGGAACACCAGUGGCGAAGGCGAGUCUCUGGGAUGAUGCUGACGCUGAGGCGCGAAAGCCAGGGGAGCAAACGGG